rnacentral:lncRNA from 1 species
UGGCAGGGCCACAUAGAGGUGUGGACUGGACAAAAAGGACCUGAGGAUGUGGAGAUGCCCCUGCCUCCUCAUCCUCCCAUGAGCAGUGGCCCCAGCACCGUCGGGAGGCUGCAGGCCAGGGAGGCUCCAGCCCUGCCCAAGCUCUAACCCAACGAGAUGGGGAACAGACGUGUAAACAGCAUGGAGUUCCUGAGGCCCUAGGAGUGUGCGGUUUGCUUCCCUCGGCUUCUCCGUUUUGACAGGAGCCCAGUGGAGCACAAGAGGAAGGACCACCCUUGUGACCUGAGUGUGGGCCUCCUGAUUCCUGGAUAGUUACGGCCCUACAUUACGUGGCUGACACAUCGAAUACAGGGUUGAAUGCAUACAGCUGUAAGUAGGCAUUCCAGAAACUUGGGCCUCAGCUUGUUGCCUUCUCCUAUACCAGUUUACUACCCAGCCAGAAGACUUACAGAGCCAGAUGGGCUGAUACCUGAUUCCAUCUGGAUUGAGCAGUGAGCUAAGACAAGAGGGAUCUGAAACAGAGCUCUGGAGGCUGGACUUUCAGAGGCCCAAUGGGCAUGUGACGUGGGCAUGAGGACAGUCAGCUUGGACCCAGUUCUUUUAUAACUCCCAAAGUAAAGCUUCCAGCUGAGAGCUCACAGCAGCAAACCUCUCCAGAAACUGCCCUCCGCUGACCCCCAAACAAAGCUACACCUCUCCCUAGGGCCUAAGUAUCCAUGGAGUCGUC